rnacentral:rRNA from 1 species
UACGAAGGGGCUAGCGUUGCUCGGAAUUACUGGGCGUAAAGGGCGCGUAGGCGGAUGUUUAAGUCAGGAGGUCGAAAGCCCAGGGCUCAACCUUGGAACUGCCUUUGAUACUGGGCAUCUUGAGUAUGGGAGAGGUGAGUGGAACUGCGAAGUGUAGAGGUGAAAUUCGUAGAUAUUCGCAAGAACACCAGUGGCGAAGGCGGCUCACUGGCCCGGUACUGACGCUGAGGUGCGAAAGCGUGGGGAGCAAACAGG